GUCCCCCAAAGCCUGGCGGUGGCGAAUUUGGAAGCUUCUACAGUUCAUCUGCACUGCAUGAUGGAAGAAUUGGUAACCUGAUUCUUGUUACAAAGAUGCCUAGCAGGUAACCUGAAAAGAACUAUAUUGCCUUUCAGGUUGUUCUGUCAACAGCGCUGCCAGAUAUGUUCAAGAGCACUUACAAGAAAUACAAAGCCGAUGGGAAGGAUAUGAUAGUUUUGGCUGAAGCAGAUUUCUUCGGGAGCCAAGAGCACUAUGUUGUCGGUGAAUUUCUCAUCCAGACCCAGUGCAGCAUGAUCAUCUGGUAGCUUGUUUUU